UGAAUCAGUUCGCGAUUCAGUUUGAAUCAUUCUGCCAGCUCAGUCGGGCGUUUAAUCUUUUUGAGUGGUUUCUCUAUAAUUAAAACGUUAACGAGCGACCUUAAAAGACAAAAGACACGAAAUGCGAUAGACAAAGUGGAAAUUCACCUAGAAUCCAUCGAAACCAAACAUGCAAAAGUGUCAUGCGAUGAAAAAGGCGUUUAUGAAGUUCAACACCUGCACCUGCAGCUUGUGAACGACCUCAGCCGGUGUCUUAGCGAUCAUCUCCCCUCCAUGUUUGCCCAAUGAGAUGUGCUGAAGAGAUGAGCCGAAUGGCCUCCCACCCCAUACUUAUCUGCCAGAGCCUGCGCUCCAUUUCCAGCGCACAAAAGAAAUUAUUAGAGCCGAGAACCUACGCAGGGUGCAGUGCUGAAAAGGAAGAAGAAUUAGCAAGUCUAAGUGUGUGCAGAGAGAGUGAGAGAGGAACGACUGCAGGUCUGGCACAGGUCACCUUCAUAGAUUGAAAGGGAUGAGAGUCACCUGGGCCCAUAUGCAACAGAAAUCUGAAUGGUCAGGGGUUUUGUUCAGCCACUCAUUUCUAAAGCUGGGAUCCUUCAGACAGAUAUGCAGAGAGUUAGGUGCGGCACACAUCCAGGAACUGCUCAAGUGGCAAAGAUGCCAUGCCAUCCAUCAGGCACUGACAGGCAGGUGGCCAAGCCUUUGGUAAGGAAUGCCAGUGAUCUGUAAACCACCAAAUGAGAGACGCACGUGGGCCCUGGGGGCGAAGAGGGGCCUCCCCGCAUGACUCACUCUUAUGCAGAUGGAGAAGCGUAUCAUUACAUUCUCUGUGGCGAAUGACUGAUUUGACACAUUACAGAGGUGUUAGCCUGGUUAUAUGAAUAAACCUAAAGUCUUGCUUGUGGAAUUACUUGAGUAAAAUCCUAGAAGUUAGCUUGACAGUUUUUAUUUUUGUCUGUGUUUGAGUUGUGUGCUCUCUUUAUUAGAUCCUGUUUUCUCCCACGCUGGAUCUCAUUCAGAGUCCAGAUAGUUGUAUGUCAAACCUGUGCCUAAACAUUACUCAAACCAUACAUACACAUGCCAUAUGCAGGA